rnacentral:sRNA from 1 species
GACUUUUAAUAAUAGGAAAAGUGAAGGAGAUAAAAAAAAAUCUAAGAAACUGGCAAACACUCUUAUUGCAACUCAGAGGUUAUAUAAGGGGUGCGGGUCUGCGGAAACCUCUGAAUAAUAAAGACAAGAUCAAAUGAUUUGAUGAGUCUCAACUCCGUCCAAGGCUUCCAAAAAACCAGUGUGCCUAUGGUGAGGAAAUGGGUCAUGGGAAGAAUGAGUGACCUCAGAAACAGAGAAGAAACAGACUGAGGCUAUCAUCAGGGCUCCAAGUUCCCUCCUGAGCCUGAGAUAACCUUAACAGUGGGCAGACAUCCAGUAAACUUUGUUGUUGACACUGGGGCAUGUCACUCAGUUCUCCAACAGCCCCUUCAACCCAUGAUAAACCAGACACCCCAGUACAGGGUGACAGAGGCUAAACCUUACUCAUGAACUACCAAACAGUGUGUGGAUUUGGGUAAAAAGACUGUUACUCAUUCUUUCUUAGUGGUUUCUGAAUGUUCUUAUCCCUUAUUGGGGAGGGACUGCCUAACAAAAAUGGAAUCUCACAUUUAUUUCUCCCCAGAGGGCUGUGUCUCUGUCCAGGAGAUUCAACCUUUGUCUGUGUCCUUUCACUAGAAAAUGAAUACUAAGACUAGAGGAUUAAGGAACGAAUCCCUCAUUGCCCUUCCUCAAACAACUCAUAAACCUGAUACCACAGAUAAGAACAGACAGCCACUUUGAGUGGCAAGAUCCAGAAAAUGGAUUCAGGGACAGCUGACCUGGACCAGAUUACCAACAAGGAUUCAAAACUCACCUACGAUUUUGAUGACUCAUCAGGACCAAUGUGAGUACAGGCAGACAUGCUUCUUUGCUUCAGUAUAUGGAUGAUUUGCUAAUGAAUGCCAUUGAUGUUGACUCUUAUAUAGAAGCAACCAGGUUUCCUCUAGAACCACUGCAGAAACUGAGAUAUAGGAUCUCAGCUAAGAAGGUUCAGAUUUGUGGAUCUGAAGUGACCUAUUUGGGUUUCCAGCCCAAGGGGAGUAAAGAAGUCUUUUCACCCUGUAAAGAAACCAUCUCAAGCAUCCCGAUGUCUAAGACCAGACACCAAGUAUGGAAAUUCUUGGGGUCAACUGUUUUUUUGCAGGCUCAGGAUACCAGGUUUUGCUGAAAUAGUUAAACCCCUUUGUGAGGCCACCAGGGGGCAUGAAGAGCCUUUCAUAUAGACAGCAGAAGGAAGUAGUUUGGGACUUGAAGUCAGCACUGUUCAGUUCCUGCCCUGGCGCUGCCUGAUGUGACAAAGCCCUUCCAUUUAUUUGUGGACAAAAGUUAAUGACCCUUUCAGACCUGGUCCUGCUUGAAUAUUCAGUUUAUUUCACAGAAGACAACCAGGCCUAAUAGCACCUAAGUAAUACCUCAUAAAGGACAGAUGGGGACAUACAACUGAUGAAAGAAAGAUUCUACCAAAAAUUUGGUCAGAACUUUGAUCUAGGAUCUCCAUGCCAUCACUCAUCUGGGAAUGAAUAAGAUGAAAGAAUUAAUAUCUACAAAGUUUUUUAUUCAAGGGCCAACCAAGGAAGUGGAGCAUGUUGCUACUAGAUGUCAUCCUUAUCAAAUGACAAGCCCAGCUACAAAACAAUGUAUGCUAAAAGAGAAAGAGGAACCUCACCAGGAGUCUUCUGGGAAACAAACUUCUCUGAGGAUGGACUGAGACAUUCUCAACCAAGAAGUAAAGUCCUCAAACUAUAAGAAACUCAUUGAGGGGCUGGAGAGAUGGCUCA